rnacentral:rRNA from 1 species
GCAAGUCGAACGAUGAAGCCCAGCUUGCUGGGUGGAUUAGUGGCGAACGGGUGAGUAACACGUGAGUAACCUGCCCCCGACUCUGGGAUAAGCCCGGGAAACUGGGUCUAAUACCGGAUAUGACCUCGCACCGCAUGGUGCGGGGUGGAAAGAUUUAUCGGUGGGGGAUGGACUCGCGGCCUAUCAGCUUGUUGGUGAGGUAAUGGCUCACCAAGGCGACGACGGGUAGCCGGCCUGAGAGGGUGACCGGCCACACUGGGACUGAGACACGGCCCAGACUCCUACGGGAGGCAGCAGUGGGGAAUAUUGCACAAUGGGCGAAAGCCUGAUGCAGCGACGCCGCGUGAGGGAUGACGGCCUUCGGGUUGUAAACCUCUUUCAGUAGGGAAGAAGCGAAAGUGACGGUACCUGCAGAAGAAGCGCCGGCUAACUACGUGCCAGCAGCCGCGGUAAUACGUAGGGCGCAAGCGUUAUCCGGAUUUAUUGGGCGUAAAGAGCUCGUAGGCGGUUUGUCGCGUCUGCCGUGAAAGUCCGAGGCUCAACCUCGGAUCUGCGGUGGGUACGGGCAGACUAGAGUGAUGUAGGGGAGACUGGAAUUCCUGGUGUAGCGGUGAAAUGCGCAGAUAUCAGGAGGAACACCGAUGGCGAAGGCAGGUCUCUGGGCAUUUACUGACGCUGAGGAGCGAAAGCAUGGGGAGCGAACAGGAUUAGAUACCCUGGUAGUCCAUGCCGUAAACGUUGGGCACUAGGUGUGGGGGACAUUCCACGUUUUCCGCGCCGUAGCUAACGCAUUAAGUGCC